rnacentral:sRNA from 1 species
GAACAAAUUGGAAUUGGCAAAAAUGGAGAGCGAGCCUGUGGGAUGAUAGCAGCCAAGGUUCACAUGAUUACUCAGAGCUGCAGGAGAGUGGAGAGGCAAGAGAGGAUGUAUCUGUACAACGAAAUGGUCCAAAUCAGGAGACUUUGGAUGAUUCUAGAAAACACCGGGCCUUGGUGAUGUUUUCAGAUCUUUAUUAUAGUGGGCUGACUGAAUGAAAUGAUGAAUUUUGUUCUGUUGUGCUCUUAUCAGUCAUAAUCCAGCCUCAAUUAUAGAAGACAAGGGGAGGAACUGGCCAGGAAAUACGUACACACAUGCAGCCUGCUCUCCACAAACAAAACCACUCUCUAAGCCUCAGUUUCUCUACCCCUACCUACUGGUAACCCUUUCCUGAAACAAAAAGGGACAGCUCACUGCUUACUUAUGUCAUACUGUUUUCAGUGACUUCUAAUUAAUCAGAUCAUUUUCUACUUUUGUACAAAGGAUAAUUUGCUACAAUAAAAGUGAAUAUAAAUCAGUAGGUCUUAUCAUACAAUACCCAAUUUGGACCAAUUCUUCUGAAAGUAGAGAGAUUUUAUUAUUUUUAAAAUUUGGUUUUGGAAUACUGGGAACUGAAACUAGGAUCUCAUACAGCAUGUGAUGAGUGCUCUACCACUGAACAACUUUCCCGGCCUCUGACAAGGAGCUUUUCAAUGGGGUGAUCAAGGAUAUCAAGGAAGGCAGUUUACUUACAGACAGAUGAGAACAUGUGAAGUGCCUGUCUCACCAAGCAACCAAUGCAGUCAGUGCUUAAUACAAGGGUUUAUUUUUCCUUUAAGCAUGUGUGUGCGCACACACAUACACACCCACACACACUCACCACAAGCAGGUGCACAUAUAUUCUAACAUUCAGGAUUUUAGGAUCUGCACAUGGAUCCUGUGUUAUGUAUUCCUAUGAUGUGUGACUCUGAGCAAUGUGACAGACAAGGACUUUUAUUAUGAAUUCUUCAGAGGAGAAAACCGAGAUUUAGAAAGGAAACAUAACUUGGGAAAUUACUUCUUAGGAUUCAAACUCAGAUCUGCCUAACUCCGUUAAUCACUAUGUGUGACUGCUUCUUAGGCCGUGCAGAUAACUCAUGCCAUCUAUGUGAGUGUGUAGUUACAUAGUGUUGUGUUCUACUCAACAGACUUAAACACAUAAAUACUGAACAAUAGUGACUUAUUCUUCUGCCCAGUUUCUGUGGGCUAGAGAAUUAGUAGAGUCCUUUUAAAAGUGUGUGUGUGUGUGUGUGUGUGUGUGUGUGUGUGUGUGUGUGUGUGUGUGUGUAAGCCAGGAGAAAACAGCAGAUCCUCUGGUGCUGAUAUCACAGGCCAUUGUGUUGUGGGUCACCUGACAUGAAGGUUAAGAACUGAGUUUGAGUCCUCUGAAAGAGCAGCAAGUGUCUUAACUAUGGAGUUAUCUCCCAGUUCCCAAUUCAGCUAUAUCUUAACAAGUCAGUUCCGACUUAGGAUCUCCUAUUCAGUUGCUUUAGGAUGUUGGCUAAAACUAUAGUUCUCUGAAGGCAUGGUUUAUGAAGGAAGAUAACCUAGGAAGCACGCUUGUUUAUAUGUUUAGCAACUUGGUACCAGUCCAAACUGAAUGUUUCUGCUGCUCUAGGUGGCUUAUCCCAGAAACUCUUGAGCACGGUGUCUGGUGCUCUUCAGAAUGAGUAACAUGAAGGUUGAAUCAGCAAUAGCUUUAUGAACUAGCCUCAGACAUGACAUACUCUUGCCUUGCCUCACUGUGUCAAAUAUCCAACUCUGAUUUGAUUGGUAAAAAUCUAUGUAUGUGUGAUAAUAGUAGGAGACACAAUCAUUCGGGAAGUUUUCUAGAUUGGUAACUCUCAAACCUGUCCUUAUUCUAUUUUUAUAAACUCUUGGAGCCAAGACUCCAGUUUUCCACUCUUGCUACAUUUUUUCAUUUAUUUUUUCCUCCUCAGAAACUAUUGCCUGCCUCCCUUUCAAGCCUGGAAUACGGUGACUGUGUAGGUAAUUGUGAUUUUCAAUAUGACAAGAUGGAGAAUUGCAUAGUCCAACUGCCAUGUACAUCUGUGAAGAAAUUUAUAAACUACUUUUAUUGUGGUGAAAUAGCCAACCCUAAAUAUGGGUGACAUCAGACCAUGGAGUGGGUUUUGGGACAAAAAAAAAGGGAGGAAAAAAUGACCUGUAUCCUCAAACUGUGAGCCAAAUAAAACCACCCUGAAGUUACUUUUUCCAGGUACCCUGUCAUUCCUGGAUGAAACCGCGAACCUCUACAUCUCCCUCAGUCCUUCUGUGGUUAUUUCCAAGGCAAUGGCCAAAUAACUCCUCUCGAGUUAUAGCACUCCGCUGCUCUGUGGACAUCCUAUGCACCAUCCUACUUCAGGGACACUACACUUGAUCCAUCUUCCUGGAAGACUCUGAGCUCAGAUGUCCACUUCUUUUCAUGUCUUAUUCAGCUGUCACUUUCUCAAGGAGACCUGACCUGGCUGGCCUUCCACAAUAUUGAUACCUCCUUCAGCUCCUACUCUGUAGUUUAUUUAUUUUCCCCUUAGCCUUUAUCUCCAUACUACAUAAUCACAUGUAUAUAAUUAUACUUAUUUUGUUUCCCUUAGUCCCAUUCCUAAUAUAACGUAAGCUCUAAUCAAGCAAGAAUUUCUAUAUCCUACAUGGAUGUAACCAAUGCCUGGAUCCUCAGUGCCAGGUGAUCGAUAAAAAAUUGUAAUUGACAGAAUACUGUAUUUACAGAUGUGUAGCUGUAUUCAUCUCUGCCUAUUUAAUACAUUUUCCAUAUCUUUUCGUAUAGCCCUUUUGAGGACUUAAGUAUGAGGCCAAGAAAACGAGAGCAGGUUCACUUUGAGCUCAGGAUGUUUGCCCUCCAACUUCCCACUUCCUGUGUGGCUCAGGAAUGCUCUUUACUCAUUGCUCUACAGUCUUCUGGAUGAUACCAGAAACACCCCGAUCGUGGGGCACACAGUGGCUGAGCAUUCUAGUGGCAUGAGGUUGAAAAUGGGUGAAUCUGGAGUCAUCGAGAUGCCUUAUCAUAUAAAGUGUCUCAUGGCCAAGACUGAUGAGAUCCAACCCCAUAAGCCAUGGUAGAAAAAGAGAAGUCAAUCUUGCAAGUCGUCCUCUGCUCCGUAAACAUGUACCAUGCACCUCCUCAUAAACAAACACAUAAUGGUGUAAGAAAAAGAAGCGAGGCUUUCUGUAUAAAAGUGAAAUGAAACUUAGAAAUAAGAAGACAAUUCUGAAAUUGUUAUCUGACUUGAUGAAAGAACAUUUACCCGGAUAUGUAGAAAAUAUUAAGAAUUCCUUUUAUAGUGAAAACUCCCUGUCUCCAACUUUUAUCCUAUCAAGGAAAAAGAAUAUAUGUAGGCAUCAAAACAUGUAGUCUGUUAAAAUGCAUAAUACUGUGCUGUCAGCAUGCACUCUGCGCCCUCGGUACCUCAUUCUGACGAGUAUGGUCAGGUUGUAUCUUUCAAGCAGAAUUCAUUUUUGAAAUUCCUAUGAUGUUACUGGAAGUUGUUCACUACUUUCUUCUUCAAAUGGCAUCCGUGUCUCCUGAGAAAGAUUUCUGAAAGCCUUUAUUUGACUCUUGACAGCUGUGUGUUCUUCUAGACGGCUGGAAGGGACUCUAUCUUGUCUAAAUGUGUGUGUGAAAUUACCCAAUCCGUGCCUUCGUCUCUGCAGCAUAACUAGUGUGGUACCAAGAUGUUUCCCUAAUAUCUCUACCACAACUUCCAAAUCGUGUUGACUGAAAGCAUUAAAAGGACAAAUUGCCAUGGUAAAGCUACUGACCCCUCAUUUAUGGAACUGCUUCCAUUAUUUUCCCUCUGACUUUACAGAGUGCUUUUCAGUCACCAGUACAUCUGAUCCAGUGGAUGAAACUCAACUGUACUUAAAAAUUGUGGUCAAGCAUCGUGUCAGAAAUCUAAACCAGCAGACUUGUCAUUUCACAAAAGGUUGUGGUUCUUGUAAUGAGAGAGUGUUUCGCUUAGUAUGUGAAGCCAGGGACUAAUGCCUUGUUUCACAGCUAAUCACCAAUGUGCUGAUGUAACUGGACCAGUAUUUGAAUAAAGGCUGCACCGUCAAGUGGCCUUGAGAACUAGAUGUAAGAAAUUCCGCUUCACUCAAUGUAAAAAUCAAAUCUGAGUGGGGAGGUGGAAUAUUAUCCUGAAAGCAAAUGUAUGGUGUGU